rnacentral:tRNA from 1 species
GCCUUCGUGGUGUAAUGGUCAUCACACUGAGCCGGUAUUUCAGAGGUCCGUGGUUCGAUCCCCGGCGAAGGCG